CUGAGCUGGAGCCGUGACUGGGCUGUCUUGACUUUCGAACUGCAUCUUGUUAGACACCACGGGCUUCAUGUUGUAACAGGGCAUUUCACCUGGAAGGGGAAGAGCGCCUCUGGUGAGCAUGCGUACAACUCCAGUAAACACGCUGCACGUGCUAGCAGGCCACUGAGCAUGGAGGCAGCUCAAGAUUCCCUCCCCCAGUCUAGCUGCCCCGUCUGCCGCUGGAGCUCCCACCUGUUGCAAGACGCAGAGGAGGUGUGAUGAGGGGACCCCUGGUGCUACCAUGGAAACCACACCAGGAAUGGGGGAGAGGUGUGACUGGGAACAAGGGAGGGAAGCCCUCAGAGUGAGCUCUGGAAAGUGUCUGGGUAAGGUUGCCCCAAAUUCCAUCCUAGCACACAGUAUCUGCUCAAUAAAUAUUUAAUGGAGCAAAUUAAUGAA